AUUGAACGCUGGCGGCAGGCUUAACACAUGCAAGUCGAGCGGAGAUGAGGUGCUUGCACCUUAUCUUAGCGGCGGACGGGUGAGUAAUGCUUAGGAAUCUGCCUAUUAGUGGGGGACAACAUUCCGAAAGGAAUGCUAAUACCGCAUACGCCCUACGGGGGAAAGCAGGGGAUCUUCGGACCUUGCGCUAAUAGAUGAGCCUAAGUCGGAUUAGCUAGUUGGUGGGGUAAAGGCCUACCAAGGCGACGAUCUGUAGCGGGUCUGAGAGGAUGAUCGCCCACACUGGGGCUGCGACACGGCGCAGACACCUACGGGAGGCAACAGUGGGGGAUAUUGGACAAUGGGCGGAAGCCUGAUCCAGCCAUGCCGCGUGUGUGAAGAAGGCCUUUUGGUUGUAAAGCACUUUAAGCGAGGAGGAGGCUACCUGGAUUAAUACUCUAGGAUAGUGGACGUUACUCGCAGAAUAAGCACCGGCUAACUCUGUGCCAGCCGCCGCCGUAACAC
rnacentral:rRNA from 1 species